rnacentral:RNase_P_RNA from 1 species
AAGGUGCAAUAGGUAGUUGCUGGUGGUGUAAACCACGAGAGGAAAGUCCGGGCUACAUGUGAGACAGAACUCCAUCUAACCGAUGGCCAGAGUAAUCUGAGGGCAAGUGCAACAGAGAGAAAGUAGUCUUUCAAUUAUAUGAGAGUCAAUGUGAAAGGGUAGGGUAAGAGCCUACCAGUACUUAUGGUAACAUAGGUAGCUAGGUAAACCCUGUUCGUAGCAAGAAGUAUAUGGUAUAAGUCUCACGAGCUGUUCAAUCAGUAUGGCUACUUCGCUUGAGUUUAGUGGCAACACUAAACCUAGAUAAAUAACUGCCCAAGACAAAACCCGGCUUAUCGUUGCACCUUUGUU